AGACCAGCAUGGGCUACACAGCUGCUCUCAAACCCCUGGGAUCAAGCAAUCCUCCUGCUCCAGCCUCCUGAGAAGGUGGCCUUCGGACACAUGCCUGGGUCUCAUCCGCUCGGAAUUGCCUCCAGAGUACUCACAGUACCUGAUACGAUGGUAAUGCUGGCCUCAUAAAUGGGAAAGUGUUUCAUUCUCUUCUAAUGCCUGAAAUAAUUAGUGGAGAUUGGUACUAAUCUUAAUCUUCAACAAAAUUGCUGGGUUUGGUGGCAGAUUCCUGGAAUCCCAACUACUUGGGAGGCUGAGGCAGGAGGAUCACAAGUUUGAAGUCAGCCUAGGCAACUUAGUGAAGCCCAGUAUGUGCAAGGCCGUGUGGGACCUGACGGAGAGUGAAUGGUUAAACUGAAGAAUUAAACCGCAGGACAAAAGGGCACAGGCUCCAUGAGGAGUGACUGGCUGAGAGGUGGGGCGAAAACACAGAAAUAAUUAAAAUGGGAGGCAAAAAGUGCAUAGGUUCGGUGAGGAGUAAACAAUUACGCUGAAAGGUACAGGCUCCGCGAGGAGUGGACAGUGGAACUGCGGUGCACAAGCGCACAGGCUGUGUGAAAAUCAAAUGGUGGAACAACAAGAAGUUUAGAUUCGUUGCGUGCGUUGCGCCUGGCCCUCGUCCUCCGCUUUCCACAAGAAAACUGCUGAGCUUUCAAACAGCUGCUCACCCAAACCGCUUUUUUUUCUUACCCCGAGCUUCUGAACAGGAGCCAGAGAGUUCUUGACUUGGUGGCUGCUCCUCCUCCCAGAGUCUCCCUGGUGGCUGGGUGCUCUCGGUGGAUUAAAUGAAGUCUCAUUUUUCAUCCUCUACGCCGCCGACGGCAGCUCGCUACAACCCAAGGCCCGAGCGUGAUCCCUAGCGCAGCAAAAGAAAAAGUUAAAAAAAAAAAAAAGUUUUAUAAAGUUAAUGAAACUGUCUGGGCUUGGAGUUUUCUUUAUAGAAUACUUUUAAUGAACACUAGAGCUAAUCCUAUUUUCUGCUUAUUUUUAUGUGCAUUAAGGAAUCUGCCCAUUUAAUCUCAGUUGUCAAAACUAUUGAAUUUGUGCAUAAUGUCAUUUAUUUCCUUUUAUGUGCUCACAUGAUGCUGAGCUAGAACCCAGGGCCUCACACAUUCUAG